UGGGGAAUAUUGGACAAUGGGGGCAACCCUGAUCCAGCCAUGCCGCGUGAGUGAUGAAGGCCUUCGGGUUGUAAAGCUCUUUUGCGGGGACGAUGAUGACGGUACCGCAGAAUAAGCCCCGGCUAACUUCGUGCCAGCAGCCGCGGUAAGACGAAGGGGGCUAGCGUUGUUCGGAAUUACUGGGCGUAAAGCGAGUGUAGGCGGUUGCCGUAGUCAGGUGUGAAAGCCUUGAGCUCAACUCAAGAAAUGCACUUGAUACUGGGUGACUAGAGGACCGGAGAGGAUAGUGGAACUCCCAGUGUAGUGGUGAAAUACGUAGAGAUUGGGAAGAACACCAGUGGCGAAGGCGGCUAUCUGGACGGUUACUGACGCUAAGACUCGAAAGCGUGGGGAGCAAACAGGAUUAGAUACCCUGGUAGUCCACGCCGUAAACGAUGGGUGCUAGACGUUGGCGAGCUUGU
rnacentral:rRNA from 1 species